CAGAUUCUAAAUACUGUUUACUCCUGAAUAAUUUGUAAUUCCUUUCCCAGCUCAAAUAACUAUAAACUCCUACAAAGUGCUUUAUAAACACUCAUUAGAGCAUUACUAAAGUCCUUUGAGCUCCACGUGAUUACCUCCAUUUGGCAGUCGAGUAAACUGAGUCACAAAAGUUGAAAGAUCUGCUCAAAGCUUUGCCAGGAGCGAAGACAGGGCAGGGCCAGAGCUCAGACAUCCUGGCUCCUGGUCUGGCGAGCGCUUCCUCGGAACGUGCCGGGAUCGGCCGCAUCCGGGCUCCUGACCUCUCAGGGUCCCGCCGUGCCACAGCCUUCUGGUAACCCAUCAUCGAGGACUGGCCAAGGUCCCCUGGCCCCUGAGAUACCACUGUCCAGCAGCAAAGGCUCUGCUUUGAAAAGGCCCUCAGCACAUGUGUCCAAUAGCCACCUAUGUCCUUCUGUCCCCAGAGGCCUGUCCCACUGAUUCUCAGUGUCUGCAUAUACGGGCCACAGAGGGAUCAGCAGAGAGAAGCAAGACAUUGGUUUCCUGCUUUUCCUGAAAAGCUGAAAGCAGACAGGAUCCGUGGGGUAGUAUACAUUUCCUGGAUUUCAUCUGCCCUGCAUUUAAACCCACUUAUGAUUAAGCUCUUCCAUCUACCAGGGUUAACAGAAAAGGCCGGCCACGUGCUCUUCUAGAUUGCCGGCACUAGGCUGUGGGCAUGGUACCCAAGCUCGGCCAGCUUACAGCACUGCCGGGGACGCAAGUGACUGAUACGAACGAAGAGGGGGCUUUGCCGGGUAGCAGGUGGAGAUGCCUGCGUCUCAGGAGGCCUGUCAGCGGUGGUGCCGCGGAGCCAGUGGGAUGGAGGAGGUGGCUCUGCCAUCAGAUUGCUGCUGUCUUUGACCUUGGCUGUGGUUAGAACUGUUGUCCCGAGUGCACUCGGCCUCCCGCUCAUUUCUGGAAACCUCGGGAUUGUUUGUGAGUUAGCAGUUUUCCUUCCAGCAAAUUCCUUCCUGAAGCAUACCAGAGUCAAGGGUUUUGUUUGUAUUUGGUUGGGACCAAGUUGCAGAAUGAGAGCGGUUUCUCUUUUCUUUCCUCCCAGUAUUGAGAGAUGGGUUCUAAGACUCUGAGGAGACCGGGGUACAGCGGAGAUGGUAAAAGCAUGGCACGAUGCGGGACGUCUGAAAAGGUUAGGAGCUAGUGUUUGAGACGAGCUAGCUCAUUCGUCUCCAGCAGUCCUGAACCCAAUCCGCAACGUUGCUGGGUGGUGCCUUGUGGCUGAUCUCCCUGCCGUCAGCAUGACCGGCGUCCUCGCCGGCAUGAUAGGCCCUGGCACUCUAGCCAGUGGUGGUGACUUAGACCAGCAUCGAUGUGUGCCCAACCUCCUGUCUCCCCCGGGCUCCUGUCAGCAGGUUGCUCCCCAUCCAGGGUCCUUCCUGAUGCGGCUUGCCUGUGGUGAGGGAGGGCUGCCCACAGCGGUGUGCGGGGAGUGCAGAGCACGUGCCCCGGAGCUCUGUGUGCUUUUGCCCUUCCUGGUACUUGGGGAUGUGAGGAAGCUGUCCCGGGCAUCUGGAAAUCUGAAGAAAUGGUGUUUUCACCGAUACCAGGGUCAGCGAGCAAAAUGCCUCUCACAGACUCAUAGAAGAAGUCAUCCAAAUGACCAGCUUCUCCCCCGUGGAUUGGAUUAGUUUGCACAUGCUGGAUCUGUUCAUUAGGACGGCUCUACACACCACAUCAACUGUUCGAUCAGCAGCAGGACACGGGGAAGGGUUCUGUCCCACCCACUCCUUAAGGUUCCAGGCCGAUGGAGGAACCAUCCGUCCUCGAUGCUAGGCUUCCAAGAUCAGGCCCCCUAUGUGUUCACAUCUAGGAGACUGAUAGUAGUGAAAGACAGUGGAGAAUGGCCCAGGAACAUCUAAAGAGCAUUGGUUGGACGUUGCAGUCCAUUGGCCGGAAUUGGCCACAUGGCUUUACUCCGCCGCAAGGAAGGCUGGGAAAUGGAGGCGAGUGAGCCCAAGAAGAGAGGGAGACAGGUCUGGUGAACAGCCAGCUAGAGUCCCCUUGGGGAACAUGAGGAGCUGUGGGUGUGCCCAGAGGAGCGGCCGAGUACCACACAAUCCAGAGUGGGUGCCUGGGUCACUGGUAUCUAAUUCUGUCCCCCGGUUGGACAAUGAAAAUACAUUCAGUGGAACAAUUUUCAAAUGGUAAAUGGUAAAAAAGCCCCAAACCAAGGAG